CCUACGGGGGGCAGCAGUAGGGAAUAUUGCUCAAUGGGGGAAACCCUGAAGCAGCAACGCCGCGUGGAGGAUGAAGGUUUUCGGAUUGUAAACUCCUUUUGUUAGAGAAGAUAAUGACGGUAUCUAACGAAUAAGCACCGGCUAACGUCGUGCCAGCAGCCGCGGUAAUACGGAGGGUGCAAGGGUUACUCGGAAUCACUGGGCGUAAAGUGCGAGUAGGCGGGAUAGCAAGUCAGAUGUGAAAUCCUAAGGCUUAACCAUGAAACUGCAUUUGAAACUGGAGAUCUGGAGUAAGGGAGGGGUAGGUGGAAUUUAUGGGGUAGGGGGAAAAUGCGGAGAGAUCAAGAGGAAAACCGAUUGCGAAGGCGACCUGCUAGAACAUAACUGACGCUGAUGCGCGAAAGCGUGGGGAGCAAACAGGAUUAGAUACCCGGGUAGUC
rnacentral:rRNA from 1 species